rnacentral:rRNA from 1 species
CAGGCCACGGUAACACGGAGGGUGCAAGCGUUAAUCGGAAUUACUGGGCGUAAAGCGCACGCAGGCGGUCUGACAAGUCAGAUGUGAAAUCCCCGGGCUUAACCUGGGAACUGCAUUUGAAACUGUCAGGCUGGAGUCUUGUAGAGGGGGGUAGAAUUCCAGGUGUAGCGGUGAAAUGCGUAGAGAUCUGGAGGAAUACCGGUGGCGAAGGCGGCCCCCUGGACAAAGACUGACGCUCAGGUGCGAAAGCGUGGGGAGCAAACAGGAUUAGAGACCCCAGUAGUCCCUGUCUCUUAUACAC